AGGAUGAACGCUGGCGGCGUGCCUAAGACAUGCAAGUCGAGUGGGUUUAGGCCCACGGCGAACGGGUGAGUAAUACCUAGGAACUUUUUUCAAGUCGAGGAUAUCCUUCCGAAAGGAAGUGCAAUACUUGAUGUGGCAGCAAUGCUAAAGGAGCAAUCCGCUUGAAGCGAGGCCUGGGCACCAUCAGCUAGUUGGUAAGGUAAUGGCUUACCAAGGCUUUGACGGUUAGCGGAUCUGAGAGGAUGACCCGCCACACUGGGACUGCGACACGGCCCAGACUCCUACGGGAGGCAGCAGUUUGGAAUUUUGGUCAAUGGGGGAAACCCUGAACCAGCGACGCCGCGUGGACGAUGAAGGCCUUCGGGUCGUAAAGUCCUUUAGUAGGGAAAAUUUUGAUUGUACCUACAGAAUAAGAGGUUGCUAACUCUGCGCCAGCAGCCGC
rnacentral:rRNA from 1 species